rnacentral:rRNA from 1 species
GACGAACGCUGGCGGCGUGCCUAAUACAUGCAAGUUGAGCGCUGAAGGUUGGUACUUGUACCAACUGGAUGAGCAGCGAACGGGUGAGUAACGCGUGGGGAAUCUGCCUUUGAGCGGGGGACAACAUUUGGAAACGAAUGCUAAUACCGCAUAAAAACUUUAAACACAAGUUUUAAGUUUGAAAGAUGCAAUUGCAUCACUCAAAGAUGAUCCCGCGUUGUAUUAGCUAGUUGGUGAGGUAAAGGCUCACCAAGGCGAUGAUACAUAGCCGACCUGAGAGGGUGAUCGGCCACAUUGGGACUGAGACACGGCCCAAACUCCUAAGGGAGGCAGCAGUAGGGAAUCUUCGGCAAUGGACGAAAGUCUGACCGAGCAACGCCGCGUGAGUGAAGAAGGGUCUCGGAUAGUAAAACUCUGUUGGUAGAGAAGAAAGUUGGUGAGAGUGGAAAGCUCAUCAAGUGACGGUAACUACCCAGAAAGGGACGGCUAACUACGUG